rnacentral:rRNA from 1 species
UACGUAGGGUGCGAGCGUUGUCCGGAAUUAUUGGGCGUAAAGAGCUUGUAGGCGGUUUGUCGAGUCUGCUGUGAAAAUCCGGGGCUCAACCCCGGACUUGCAGUGGGUACGGGCAGACUGGAGUGUGGUAGGGGAGACUGGAAUUCCUGGUGUAGCGGUGGAAUGCGCAGAUAUCAGGAGGAACACCGAUGGCGAAGGCAGGUCUCUGGGCCACUACUGACGCUGAGAAGCGAAAGCAUGGGGAGCGAACAGG